CACACACUCACCUACCAAGAGAGGCACCAGGUGAACCCACGCCCAUAUGCACACACACACAGUGUUGGUAAAUAACUGAAUACAUGUAUUCCAGAUUAUGUAUUUAAACUAGAAAAUGUAAUUCCAGGGACUUACCAGUGCAUGAAAAUGCAAAACAUAUGAUGUAAAAUAUCAUAUACAGAGUAAAAACAGACAAUGCAAAGAUGGUAGCAAUGUUGUUGCUAGGGUAUAUAUGAUGGUUGCUAUGCCAAAUGAAGUGGUUGCUCUGCUGGUUGCCAGGGUAAUCAUGUUGGUUGAUAUGGUGGUUGCUAGGUUGAGACUGUAAUGGUGGUUGCUAGGGUACAUAUGGUGGUUGCUAUUCAAAAUAAAGCAGUUGCUAUGGUAGUUGCUAGGGUAAUCAUGUUGGUUGCUAUGGUGGUUACUAGGUUGACAUUAUACAGAUGGUUGCUAUGUUGUUGCCAGGGUAAUUAAGAUGGUUGCUAGGGUGUUACUAGGGUAGUUGUGGUGGUUGCUAUAGUAAUUCAAGUGGUUGCUAGGCUGUUUGCUAGGGUAAUCAUGUUGGUUGCUAUGUUAGUUGCUAGGUUGUCAUUGUGGAAGUGGUUGAUUGGUUGUUGUUAGGGUACUUGAGGUGGUUGCUAGGCUGUUGCUAGAUUAGUUGUGGUGGUUGCUAAGCUGUUGCUAGGGUAGUUAUGGUGGUUGCUAUGCUGGUUGCUAGGUUAAUCAUAUUGGUUGUUAUGUUGGUUGCUAGGUUGUCAUGGUUGAUAGGUUGUUGAUAGGGUACUUGAGGUGGUUGAUAGGCUGUUGCUAGGUUAGUUGUGGUGGCUGUUAUGCUGGUUGCUAGGUUAAUCGUAUUGGUUGCUAGAUUUUAACUGUGGAAGUGGUUGCUAGGCUGUUGCUAGGGUAUUUCACAUGGUUGCUAGGCUGCUGCUAGGGUACUU